rnacentral:rRNA from 1 species
CGAACGCUGGCGGCGUGCCUAAUACAUGCAAAUCGAACGAGAGCGACCGGUGCUUGCACUGGUCAAUCUAGUGGCGAACGGGUGAGUAACACGUGGGUAACCUGCCCAUCAGAGGGGGAUAACAUCCGGAAACGGAUGCUAAAACCGCAUAGGUCUUCGAACCGCAUGGUUUGAAGAGGAAAAGAGGCGCAAGCUUCUGCUGAUGGAUGGACCCGCGGUGCAUUAGCUAGUUGGUGAGGUAACGGCUCACCAAGGCCGUGAUGCAUAGCCGACCUGAGAGGGUGAUCGGCCACAUUGGGACUGAGACACGGCCCAAACUCCUACGGGAGGCAGCAGUAGGGAAUCUUCCGCAAUGGACGCAAGUCUGACGGAGCAACGCCGCGUGAGUGAAGAAGGUUUUCGGAUCGUAAAACUCUGUUGUUAGAGAAGAACAAGUGCUAGAGUAACUGUUAGCGCCUUGACGGUAUCUAACCAGAAAGCCACGGCUAACUACGUG